CCCUCCUCUUGAUUGGUUUUUCAUCCUGUCGCUCUUGACUGUGACCAAUCAGAGCCAUAAGAGGUGGCCUGACGGGCCGGGCGGGGGCGGUGCCUUGCCGCUCGCUGCCCGCCGCGCUGAGGUACUUUCCGCCUUCACUGCCCGACAGUAGUCGUGGGAGUCCCUUUCUUCGCACCUCUUCUUCACCGGGAGAGCCCCUUGAGAAGCUAUUUUUCUUCCGAAAGGGAAGCUGAGGCCAGUUUCCCGGAGGUGUUGAUCACACGUAAAGGCUGAGGUGCCUCAAGGCUGCCCGGUGCCUCUGAGAAGCGGGUGAAGUCAUGGCCAGGUGCUUUGAUAAGAGGUGCUGUCCUCCUCCUGUUUGCUUCAGAGUGCUGUAAAAGAAGUGCAGAUUCAAAAUCACAGAAGUGGUGAGAAGAAAAAGGAGAGGUCAAAUAGUGCAGAGAGACAGAAACUCGGAUGUUAAAAUUUCAGCAGGUGGAGUGAGUGUCCAUGUCCAAGCUUUGGUAGCAGGACAGCUUCAGGGGUUGGCCGCCAUGAGAAGAGACCACAAGCAGCCUCCAUCUCCAACACAGCCAGUGAUCUCCAAAAUACCCCUGCUGCAGGCUGAAGGUGAGCCCCGUGGAGAGGAACCUUCGAAAGAUUGAAGUGGACCUUGUGAAACAGAGGGAUAUUAGGGGAAGGUGUUUUUAUUUUUGACUGGCAAUGAAUUAAGUCAGUCUUCCCCAAGUUUAGUCUUUUUUGUCCAUGAUAGCAAUUGGUAAGCGAUCUCCCUUUAUCGCAACCCACAAAACUUUGUUGCCAUGCAAUUUAUCCUCUGCUUUCACUAGGGCCCACUUUUUUCCAGAAUGAAAACAAUUUUUUUUUUUAGCAGCAGAAGGAAUAAGAAAAGUAACAGCUUGGGAAAAGGCUGCACACAUUUACUAGUGAGUACUGUGGAAGUUAGUAAAGUAGUGCCUAAGUUUUUAUCCUACUUGUGUUGAUAAAACCUGCUUUGGAUGUUUCAGAACUGGGCACAUGGAGAUCAACAGAAGCAAUGCUCUGAACACUUAGCUGCUUAAUGUUGAGUUACAGGCCCAGGUGACAGCUGGAAUUAACAAUGACAAGUGAAGUACGUCACAUUAGAUUCACAACAUCAAACCUAGCCAUCCUUGCUUGCAACAUAUACCAGCACUAGCUGCACACAAAGAAUAGGAAAAAAAAAACAGGAGGUGAGUUUAUAAACAAAAAAAAGCUUUCUCCUGGGGACGAGAGAGAAAAUGCUAUAUAAUUGUUGAUUUAUUUAAUGUCACAGUUCUUUGUGACACAUUAUAGACAUGCACGGUCCUACUAGAAGGAACCUGUCUUUAUAAGUGUGUGCAAACAUGCAGGAUGCAGACCAUGAAAAUGUAAACAAAGGUAUGGUCUGCUUUUGACUAAGUAGUGGUGUGGGCAAACAUGGUAUGAGAAAUAAUCAUAGCUCUGUAACCAUAAGUUCCUUGUCUCCCAGGACUACUUCAAGUACGCAGCUCUGCAGAAGCUGCUGCAGUUGAAUUUCUGAGUGCUACUGCCAUUUACUUCAGGUGUUAGCAGACCAAAGCAAAUCUUCUCCUUCCAGCCUGUCAUGCUUUAGGAUUUUAGAUAUUGCUUACACAGAGGAGUAUGUAAAAAUUACCAGUUUUAAUGGAAGAUGUACCUAUGGCUCAUAACAACUGUGAACAACUUAAAUUCAAAUAGACAGUGGGAUGAGGACAUCACUGAGAAUAGAGGGAGUUCAAGGUGGAUUCCAUCUCAGGUACUUCAGUUGGUACCUGAAGAAGGAUGUGAUAACCCCCAGCAUAACUCUUCUAGUAAGAGUACAGAAAUACAAGAAUAACUAAUAAAUACAGAUUGGAAGUUGCAAGUUUCUAAAGAAGAAUUUGCAUAUCUGCAUCUUUUCAGUUACAACUGAGGGGAAAAAAGAAAUCACACGAUGUCAUUCAUGCAUUCAGUAUGACACGACUGUCAGAAUGAUAAUCAAAAAGCUAAAUUACAUAGGCUUUUUCACCUAUUUUUAACUGCCAACAAAAAGCUACUAAGACUAGCAAAUGACUGCCCAAAAAAUUAGUCCUAAGUUUAUAGUUCUGGUGUACUAAAAAUAGCAAAAUUUGAUUUCCCUUCCCUGCCAGCCCAUUGAUGUUGAGUAGUACCAGCUAGUUAUUUUCCAUAUGACUAAUAAUAAUACAUGUAUCUGCAAAGCUGUUUGCCCCGACUCACCUCUGUAAGAUAACAUGAGGAAAAAACAUGCACUGCUUUCAUCUCUAUCAGACAAACAGUGCUGGCUGUAGAUGAACAGUAUCAUACCUUGACAUUCAGAACCUGAGCUGUUGUCUUCUGUGUUUCAUCUUCUGUGCAGAAAAAAAACAUGUGCAAUAGCAUCAUAGAUUUAUUUUUAGCCAAUUUGUUUACCUUGUUCCAUCUGUUCAAAGGAAAAACAUCACGAUCAGGACAGGUACAAGGUUGGGCCAGAUGUACAGGGGUGGUUACCUUUGAUCUAUUUUAUGCAAUUCUUCAUCUUCAGAUUUAAUAAAUGAGGACUUCCUCGUUUCACACUCUGUACAAGCAUUAGCUCAAAUACAUGCCCAUGAAAGAGGAGGUAAGAAGCAAGCAUUUCACAAAUAAGACAACUCAAAAUUUGUCAGUUCUCAGGGAGAAAAAAGUCUAUUCUUAUCUGAAGUUGCCAUAAGUACGGCAGCUGAGGCUUUUAACUUGGGCUAGUUUUAAAUGAAAACUUCAAAAGGAAACGCAAGUAUAAAACCUAGACCCUUCUGUCUAUUAAAACCCAGCUGACUUACCUUCAUCUUUGCACAAAAUACUUUCUUCUUUCUAUCUUUGGAAUGUAAGCACGUCCUAAAUGGAGGCAAGGAAUUUCCAAAGCAGCUACAGAUUUUGAUUAUGUUUUUAAACGUUGAGUUUGAAGUACUUAAGUGAAAUUUUCCAAAACGUUGUCUUUCAAACUGCAGUUAAGUAUUGAGCAUAAACUGGAGUUGUAUGGCCAUUGCAACUUCUUGGAAAACAAAGAUACCUCUGAGGAAAUUUGAGGAUGAAUUACCCUUUCUUUGAAAAACAGAAGUUAGAUAAAAUGCUGGUGAAGUGUGGACUUCCUUUCCUGCUGGUAACAGAGAGAAUAAAAGCUAUAAUUUUGUGUUCUAUGCUAGCACAUGUACUAACUGAACUCAAAGUCCUGUCUUCUCCUAAGAGCAUACUUAGAGUGAACUGUCCUACAAAAGAGGUCAGGAUUUCCCCUACCACAAACUACUCCCUUUAUCUUCCUUAUUAUGUUUUGUUGAGGG